rnacentral:rRNA from 1 species
AACGAACGCUGGCGGCAGGCUUAACACAUGCAAGUCGAACGCCCCGCAAGGGGAGUGGCAGACGGGUGAGUAACGCGUGGGAACAUAACCUUUUCUGCGGAAUAGCUCCGGGAUACUGGUAUUAAUACCGCACACGCCCUACGGGGGAAAGAUUUAUCGGGGAAGGAUUGGCCCGCGUUGGAUUGGCUAGUUGGUGGGGUAAAGGCCUACCAAGGCGACGAUGCAUAGCUGGUCUGAGAGGAGGAUCAGCCACAUUGGGACUGAGACACGGCCCAAACUCCGACGGGAGGCAGCAGUGGGGAGUAUUAGACGAUGAGCGCAAGCCUGGUCCAGCCAUGCCGCGUAAGUGAUGAAGGCCUUAGGGUUGUAAAGCUCUUUCACCGAUGAAGAUAAUGACGGUAGUCGGAGAAGAAGCCCCGGCUAACUUCGUG